rnacentral:rRNA from 1 species
UACGUAGGUGGCGAACGUUAUCCGGAAUUAUUGGGCGUAAAGGGUGCGUAGGCGGCAUGAUAAGUUAUUGGCGGUAAAUCGAGGCUCAACCUCGUGGAAACUGAUAAUACUGUUUUGCUUGAGUACAGGAGAGGUUAACGGAACUCCAUGUGGAGCGGUAAAAUGUGUAGAUAUAUGGAAGAACAUCAAUAACGGCGAAGGCAGUUAACUAUUCUGUCACUGACGUUGAUGCACGAAAGCGUGGGGAGCAAAAAGG